rnacentral:lncRNA from 1 species
CAUGCAAAGUGGUGCACCUCCAACUGGCUAGUUAUAACUCAUCUCCAUGGCUUUUUAUUUGCAGAUGGUUUGUGAAUGAACAGGUCAAUCCACACACAACUCAACCAACUGCAUUUCUUGGAUGCUGCUGUGAGGUGUGCUGCAGACUGUGGCAGAAGAAACACAGAAUAACUAAGGGGUGCUCAUUGAUUUGUGCUGAUGCCUUUCCUAGGAACUGCAUUUUGAACUUGAUUCAUAGAGUCUAUUUCCAAAUAACAAAUUCUUAA